AAAUGCCUUGGAUUCUAGGAGGAAUAUAAUGAGGAGCAUGACAAUUCCAAACGGAAGCAGAAGGUGCUUUUCGUCCGGAGCGGGGGGCCGCCUGAGAAUUACAAAGAAACCUUAAAAGGUGGAUUUUGUGCUCAGAAUAUAGGGAUUUCCCUGGCUUAAAAAGCAAUAUAGACAAACUUAUUGCAUUCCUUUCACCUUCCGAGAUCCUAUUCAUGGUGCACACCUUUCCCCGGGACUUUCCUCUGCUCGAGAUCUUGGAACCACGGGAUAUCCGCAAAAUAAUCGCUCACUCGCACAAGCAGUGGAAGCCACCCAAAAAGGGGGGCUAGUAAUUAGUUUUUUUUUGGUAGGUUUGUUUUGUUUUGUUUCUCGAAUUGGUAGGUUUCUCGGGAAAUAGAGAUACCGAGUCCCACCAACCUACUACUUGUUGGUUUGGUGGGGAAAGAAGAGCGGGAACGAGGGCUUCUUUCACUGUUUCCCUAAGUUCAAAA
rnacentral:lncRNA from 1 species